AUUGGUGUCUUGCUCAGGAUUUGGUGUUUUGUCAGAAUUGGGGUUUUUCUCAGAAUGUGGUGCUGCUUCCCCAAAAUCCUUUGCUUCUUGUUCGCUGGAGUCUGACAAUUGCGCAAGAAAUUGGUGUUUUUUUUUUUUUUUUGUUCAUCGGAAUCCUCUCAAAACUCGAUCGACUGAAAGGGUUAUUUACGCAAUGACAGAAGCAUUGAUCUCACCGAUACUUCUCUCUAUCUUUCACCAUCAUCUUCGCGUAUUUAUUCGUUGUUAGUGAGGCUGCCAUGUGAUCGGCACGCUGUUGGGUAAUGGGUUCUUGCAUAUCACAUGUUCGAUCUUAUGCGUCAAUGAAAUUUAAUGUCAAAACAAUGUAACUGCAGAUCUUGGAUGCCCAGUGUUCAAGUUGUUCAUUUUCUAAUUGGCUGGUUAUGAACUGGUUUGUAACGGGUCAUCAAAGUGGGGCUGUUAAGGUAUGGCAAAUGGUUUAUCCCACCAACCUCAAGGGUUUUCAACAGAAGUCAACGAGCAAUGGGAUAGGUGGUUUAAAUCUCAAUGAUAAAGCACCAGAGUACAAGUUUGGUGAAAUGGGUAUGUGUUUUGUUCUAUGAAAAUUGUUAGGCAUUGAGAAAGAUUACAGUCAAGACACAUUGUAAUUCUUGUGAUUAGGAGUUGUGGCAUAUGCUAUUGUGUUUUCUGGUUAUUCAUCUCUUGGGCAAGUGUUCAUUUUCUUGAUUAAUUUGGAAAAGAGUUGAAUAUGGGAUUAAGGAAUGAUGCCGGUAGUUAAGGAACAUUGCUUGAGAUGAAAAUAUAGCUUUGACAUGGAAUGCAUUACAAUUCUUUUAUGAGGUCUAAUGACAUAGAAUGUAAUGCAUAACCCUGCAGUGUUGGUUAUUUUCAGGUCCCUAGCAAAUAACUUGGCCCCAAUUCCGGUUAAAGUGGUUGUUGCAAAGUGGUGAAGGCAUCGAUUAUCAUACAUUGACAGAUACUGCAGAUGGUUCAGAUGGGAAUGGUUUUCAUAUGGAACAAGGUGAUAUACAUAAAGAUAUUAUGAUAUGGAAUGAAUCUGAGGUGGAUAAAUUCAGUCAUCCAUAGGGAUUACAAGAAUGCAAAUGGUUCAACUCUGUUCUGUUUUCUGGUUUCAUAGUAGUGACUGCAUAUGUUCUUCCAAUCUCAAACUGGGUUUCCCCAGUUGAGAUUGAGGGGGAGUAUUAAGGGUAUAAGUUAGCAAUACAGUUAUAAAUAUAGUUAGCACUAUAGUUUGCAAGUAUGUUAGUACUUCGUUAGAGUUGUUAUGCUUUCUAGUAUAAAAACAGUGUGUAAUCUUCAUUCACUACUACAAUAUUAGUUUUAGGUGUCUUUAAUAAGCCAUUAUGUCGGAUAAAAGAUAUCCGACACAUCAUUCAAUUAGUGUCGGAUAAAAAUAAAAUCAUGUCGGUUAUA